AUGAUUGUUUAUUUUUGUCCUUUUGGUCUCCAAUUUGAAUUGUUGCAGGAGAUCAAAUGCGCUGGCCUUCAUGAUUCCAAGACCUGGAAUCAUACGAGCCGAUGGUCGAAGAAGGAUUGGCCGGUGCUGCCGGCUGGCGUCAAGUUCGAUCGCACGGAUCAGGAGUUGAUCGAGCACCUUGAGGCCAAAGUGAGUGUUGACAGCGCGAGAUUUCAGUCUCUAAUCGAUUUGUUCAUACCAACCAUCGACAGCGAGCACGGCAUAUGCUACACCCAACCUGAGAAACUUCCAGGUAUUACACUGAGUGGCCUAAGGAAGCAUUUCUUCGAGCGCAAUUCCAGGGCGUUCAAAAGGAGCACAUGGACAUGUCACAAGAUACAGUCGGAGUGCGGCAUGCACGCGAUGUGGCACAAGACCGGCAGUACCUUGUCGGUGAUGGUCAACGGCUGA
rnacentral:rRNA from 1 species